GGAUGUAGCUGACAAAUUAUUGCAUUGUAAAAUGAGUCACGUGAAUCACGGAAGCUUUAAACUUUUUCUUUUUAUAGCCCUACCUGAACCCAUCCUUCCAUCCCUCCAAAAAAUUUACCCAGAGUCUUUUAGUCCUGCUAUACAGCUGCACCUUGUACAUCAAGCUCCAUGUAAUGUUCCUCCUUACCUCUCAAAGAAUGAAUCAAACCUUGGGGACCUCUUACUGGGCUUUCUUAAAUAUUAUGCUACAGAAUUUGACUGGAAUAGUCAAAUGAUUUCAGUUCGUGAAGCCAAAGCCAUUCCGAGGCCUGAUGGUAUUGAAUGGAGAAAUAAAUACAUCUGUGUAGAAGAACCUUUUGAUGGAACAAAUACAGCCAGAGCAGUGCACGAAAAGCAGAAAUUUGAUAUGAUCAAGGAUCAAUUUUUAAAGUCAUGGCACAGAUUGAAAAACAAGAGAGAUUUGAA
rnacentral:sRNA from 1 species